UACAGAGGUCUCAAGCGUUGUUCGGAUUCAUUGGGCGUAAAGGGUGCGUAGGCGGCGCGGUAAGUCGGGUGUGAAAUCUCGGAGCUUAACUCCGAAACUGCAUUCGAUACUGCCGUGCUUGAGGACUGGAGAGGAGACUGGAAUUUACGGUGUAGCGGGUGAAAUGCGUAGAUAAUCGUAAGGAAGACCAGUGGCGAAGGCGGGUCUCUGGACAGUUCCUGACGCUGAGGAGCGAAAGCAGGGGAGCAAACGGG
rnacentral:rRNA from 1 species